rnacentral:rRNA from 1 species
CCUACGGGAGGCAGCAGUGAGGAAUAUUGGUCAAUGGACGAGAGUCUGAACCAGCCAAGUAGCGUGAAGGAUGACUGCCCUCUGGGUUGUAAACUUCUUUUAUAAAGGAGUAAAGCGAGGCGCGUGUGCCUUUUUGCAUGUACUUUAUGAAUUAGGAUCGGCUAACGCCGUGCCAGCAGCCGCGGUAAUACGGAGGAUCCGAGCGUUAUCCGGAUUUAUUGGGUUGAAAGGGAGCGUAGAUGGGUUGUUAAGUCAGUAGUGAAAGUUUGUGGCUCAACCGUAAAAUUGCAUUUGAUACUGGCAGUCUUGAGUAUAGUUGAGGUAGGCGGAAUUCGUGGUGUAGCGGUGAAAUGCUUAGAUAUCACGAAGAACCCCGAUUGCGAAGGCAGCUUACUAAACUGUGACUGACAUUGAUGCGCGAAAGUGUGGGUAUCAAACAGGAUUAGAUACCCUUGUAGUC